GAUGAACGCUAGCGAUAGGCUUAACACAUGCAAGUCGAGGGGCAGCAUGGUCUUAGCUUGCUAAGACUGAUGGCGACCGGCGCACGGGUGCGUAACGCGUAUGCAACUUGCCUCACAGAGGGGGAUAACCCGUCGAAAGACGGACUAAUACCGCGUACACUCCAUCUUGGGCAUCCAAGGUAGAGGAAAUGAAAUUCGCUGCGAGAUAGGCAUGCGUCCCAUUAGCUAGUUGGUGAGGUAACGGCUCACCAAGGCGACGAUGGGUAGGGGAACUGAGAGGUUGAACCCCCACACUGGUACUGAGACACGGACCAGACUCCUACGGGAGGCAGCAGUGAGGAAUAUUGGUCAAUGGGCGAGAGCCUGAACCAGCCAAGUCGCGUGAAGGAUGACUGUCUUAUGGAUUGUAAACUUCUUUUAUACGGGAAUAACAAGAGUCACGUGUGACUCCCUGCAUGUACCGUAUGAAUAAGCAUCGGCUAACUCCGUG
rnacentral:rRNA from 1 species